GUCAUCUUCCCCCACCUGGAGGUAAUCACCAUUCUGACUCUUACUGUCAUCGAUUAGUUUUGCCUGCUGUCGAGUUUCAUAGACUCAAAGGUUUUCAGGGCAACAGUUUCCCCCAUGACCCAAUUCUCUGUUGGAUCUAAGAAGAGUUGUUGAUUUUCAGUUGGUUCAGCUUUUUUCUUGUCAUGAAGACAUGAGUGAAGACUUCAAGCCCUUUACUUGUUGGACCAGAAAUCAGAAGUUCACCAGCCUUCCUACCCUUUCCUGUAGAGUGGCUCCAGUAGUGCCUUCAUGAGCAUGAAAGUGAUGAGAACAGCCCAGUCGGAACACAGUCAGAAAGGCAUCUUCCAAAAGUAUUGUCUUCAUAGUGGGCAAUGCAGUAAGUUCUACCAGAAAGAACAGGAGAGACGUGACUGAAACACCUUCGGAGCCUUUUCAGGUCACAGCACCCCUCUACAAUGCCACUUUCAUUCUCCG